rnacentral:rRNA from 1 species
UACAGAGGAUGCAAGCGUUAUCCGGAAUGAUUGGGCGUAAAGCGUCUGUAGGUGGCUUUUUAAGUCCGCCCGUCAAAAUCCCAGGGCUCAACUCUGGACAGGCGGUGGAAACUACCAAGCUGGAGUACGGUAGGGGCAGAGGGAAUUUCCGGUGGAGCGGUGAAAUGCGCAGAUAUCAGGAGGAACACCGGUGGCGAAGGCGGUUCUCUGGGAAUGACCUGACGCUGAGGAGCGAAAGUGUGGGGAGCGAACAGG